rnacentral:rRNA from 1 species
CCUACCUCCCGUGUGUCGUCCGUGCGAGUCUCGAGAGGUUCGAUUCUGGCUCAGAACGAACGCUGGCGGCGCGUUUAAGCAUGCAAGUCGAGCGGCAAGGGCCUCGGGCCCUAGAGCGGCGGACGGGUGAGUAACACGUGGACAAUCUGCCCCCCGGCCCGGGAUAGCCCAGGGAAACCUGGAUUAAUACCGGAUGAGACGGGACCUGCGAUGGCGGGAUCCGGGAAAGGCGCUACGGCGCCGCCGGGGGAUGAGUCUGCGUCCCAUUAGCUAGACGGCGGGGUAACGGCCCACCGUGGCGACGAUGGGUAGCCGGCCUGAGAGGGUGGACGGCCACAUUGGAACUGAGACACGGUCCAGACUCCUACGGGAGGCAGCAGCUAAGAAUCUUCCGCAAUGGGCGAAAGCCUGACGGAGCGACGCCCGCGUGAACGAAGAAGGCCGUGAGGUUGUAAAGUUCUUUUCGGGAGGGGGAACAACCGUGGCAGGGAAUGGCCGCGGGAUGACGUGAAUCCCGGAAUAAGCCCCGGCUAACUACGUGCCAGCAGCCGC